GUCGACAUUAGUUAAUGAUACCUACUUGUGGGGAAAAUGUUAUAAAGAACUAAACAUAAAAAAUGAAAUAGAGCAAAAAAAUUAAGUAGGAUUUAUUGAGUCUUCUUGGCUGAUAAUUUUUAAAAACAUAAUGUCCAGGAUAUACAAAGAACUCAAAAAACGUAAUACCAAGAAAACAAAUAACCCAAUCAAUAAAUGGGCAAAAAAACUGAAUAGAUACCUUCACAGAAGAAGAAAUACAAUCGAUCAACAAAUAUUUGAAAAAAUGUUUAGCAUCUCUAGCAAUUAGAUGAAAAUCAAAACUACUCUAAGAUUUUAUCUCACUCAAUUCAGAAUGGCAAUUAUCAAGGAUACAAGCAAUAAUAAAUGUUGGCAAGGAUGUGGGGUGAAAGGUACACUCAUACAUUGCUGGUGGAACUGCAAAUUGGUGCAACUACUAUGGAAAGCAGAAUUCCUCAGAAAACUUGGAAUGGAACCACCAUUUGACCCAGCUAUCCCACUCCUUGGUUUAUACCUAAAGGACUUAAAAUCUGCAUACUAUAAUAAUGCAGCCACAUCAAUGUUUAUAGCAACUCAACUCACAAUUUCUAAACUAUGGAACCAACCUAGGUGUCCUUCAGCAGAUGAAUGGAUAAAGAAAUUGUGGUACAUAUACACAAUGGAAUAUGACUCAGCCUUAAAGAAGAAUGAAAUGAUGGCAUUUGCCAGUAAAUGGAUAGAGCUAGAGAAUAUUAUGCUAAGCGAAAUAAGCCAAUCCCAAAAAACCAAAGGCCAAAUGUUUUCUCUGAUAUGUGGAUCUAGUUCACAAUAAGGGUGUGGGGGCUAUGGAAAAUAGAGUUGCUUUAGAUUAGAUAGAGGGGAGUAAAGGAAGGGGAGAGUGUAUGGAGGAAGGAAGGAUAGUAGAAUGAAUCAGGCAUUAUUACCCUAUGUACAUAUAUGACUACGCGACCAAUGUGAAUGUACACCAUGUACAACCUGAAGAAUGAGAAACUAUACUUCAUUUAUGUAUGGUGUGUCAAAAUGCAUUAUAAUGUCAUGCAUAACUAAUUAGAACAAUUUUUAAAAAGAGACAAAGGAAAUUCAAUGAAAAAGAGAGGAAUUCUAAUAUAUCAUGAUUUAAGACUUCCAAAUACAAGAAAUUACCAUUAAAAAAACCAUAAUACUACCGGUAAUGGUGGUCACACCUGUAAUCCCAGCAACUCUGGUGGCUGAGGCAGGAGGUUCACAAGUUCAAAGCCAGCUUCAGCAACUUAGCAAG
rnacentral:lncRNA from 1 species